GAUGAACGCUGGCGGCGUGCCUAAUACAUGCAAGUCGAGCGAACAGACGAGGAGCUUGCUCCUUUGACGUUAGCGGCGGACGGGUGAGUAACACGUGGAUAACCUACCUAUAAGACUGGGAUAACUUCGGGAAACCGGAGCUAAUACCGGAUAACAUGUUGAACCGCAUGGUUCAACAGUGAAAGACGGUCUUGCUGUCACUUAUAGAUGGAUCCGCGCCGCAUUAGCUAGUUGGUAAGGUAACGGCUUACCUAGGCAACGAUGCGUAGCCGACCUGAGAGGGUGAUCGGCCACACUGGAACUGAGACACGGUCCAGACUCCUACGGGAGGCAGCAGUAGGGAAUCUUCCGCAAUGGGCGAAAGCCUGACGGAGCAACGCCGCGUGAGUGAAGAAGGUCUUCGGAUCGUAAAACUCUGUUAUUAGGGAAGAACAAAUGUGUAAGUAACUAUGCACGUCUUGACGGUACCUAAUCAGAAAGCCACGGCUAACUACGUG
rnacentral:rRNA from 1 species